rnacentral:lncRNA from 1 species
CAUUCAUGUUCUUAUGUGUCCAUGAAUCGUCCAAGAAAUUAAUAAGAUGAUGACGCAUAUUCUCAAGAGUUGAGAAUUUGAGGCAUGUAUCAUUGGUGAUUAAUUUCUGAAUUGCUCAUGAUCGAUGGAUCAUCACGAGGACGGUGAUCGAUCCACUGAGAUUAGUGCACAGAUUGCUUUCUUUGAUGGACGAGUCUUAAGUCCACAGUGUGGCGACACUGGAGCAAUUGUGCAAGUGCAUGUUAGAGAACAAGGGUACUGAGCGUGACCAUAGCAAGUAGUCACUUGGAUGUCUAUCCACUCGUCAGUGACAUACUUGAUGCUGCAGUUGUAUGACUGGUCCUUUGACCUGCGAUGCCUCGGCUAUUCACAAUGAGGUUGCUGUAGUUUGACGAGCACAUAAACAUGGGCCCUAUCCAUUUGGGUCC